rnacentral:rRNA from 1 species
UGGGGAAUCUUGGACAAUGGGGGCAACCCUGAUCCAGCCAUGCCGCGUGAGUGAUGAAGGCCUUAGGGUCGUAAAGCUCUUUCGCCUGUGAAGAUAAUGACGGUAGCAGGUAAAGAAACCCCGGCUAACUCCGUGCCAGCAGCCGCGGUAAUACGGAGGGGGUUAGCGUUGUUCGGAAUUACUGGGCGUAAAGCGCACGUAGGCGGACCAGAAAGUUGGGGGUGAAAUCCCGGGGGCUCAACCCCCGGGAACUGCCUCCAAAACUAUUGGUCUAGAGUUCGAGAGAGGUGAGUGGAAUUCCAAGUGUAGAGGUGAAAUUCGUAGAUAUUUGGAGGAACACCAGUGGCGAAGGCGGCUCACUGGCUCGAUACUGACGCUGAGGUGCGAAAGUGUGGGGAGCAAACAGGAUUAGAUACCCUGGUAGUCCACACCGUAAAACGAUGAAUGCCAGUCGUCGGGUA